rnacentral:rRNA from 1 species
CCUACGGGUGGCAGCAGUCGAGAAUCAUUCACAAUGGGGGAAACCCUGAUGGUGCGACGCCGCGUGGGGGAAUGAAGGUCUUCGGAUUGUAAACCCCUGUCAUGUGGGAGCAAAUUAAAAAGAUAGUACCACAAGAGGAAGAGACGGCUAACUCUGUGCCAGCAGCCGCGGUAAUACAGAGGUCUCAAGCGUUGUUCGGAAUCACUGGGCGUAAAGCGUGCGUAGGCUGUUUCGUAAGUCGUGGGUGAAAGGCGGGGGCUCAACCCGCGGACGGCACAUGAUAAUGCGAGACUAGAGUAAUGGAGGGGGAACCGGAAUUCUCGGUGUAGCAGUGAAAUGCGUAGAUAUCGGGAGGAACACUCGUGGCGAAGGCGGGUUCCUGGACAUUAACUGACGCUGAGGCACGAAGGCCAGGGGAGCGAAAGGGAUUAGAUACCCCAGUAGUC